AGCGUACACGGUGGAUGCCUUGGCAGUCAGAGGCGAUGAAGGACGUAUUAACUUGCGAUAAGCCCAGAUUAGGUAGUAAAAACCACUUGAGUCUGGGAUUUCCGAAUGGGGAAACCCACUAGCAUAAGCUAGUAUCGCUGCGUGAAUACAUAGCGCAGCGAGGCGAACCGGGGGAACUGAAACAUCUAAGUACCCCGAGGAAAAGAAAUCAACCGAGAUUCCGAAAGUAGCGGCGAGCGAAAUUGGACUAGCCCUUAAGCUUUUUAUGCGUCAGGUGAAACUUCUGGAAAGUUGUGCGAUACAGGGUGAUAGCCCCGUAACCGGCAACGCAUUUAAAGUGAAAUCGAGUAGGGCGGGACACGUGAUAUCCUGUCUGAAUAUGGGGGGACCAUCCUCCAAGGCUAAAUACUACUGACUGACCGAUAGUGAACCAGUACCGUGAGGGAAAGGCGAAAAGAACCCCUGUGAGGGGAGUGAAAUAGAACCUGAAACCGUGUACGUACAAGCAGUAGGAGCACCUUCGUGGUGUGACUGCGUACCUUUUGUAUAAUGGGUCAGCGACUUAUAUUCAGUGGCAAGGUUAACCAUCUAGGGGAGCCGUAGGGAAACCGAGUCUUAACUGGGCGUUCAGUCUCUGGAUAUAGACCCGAAACCAGGUGAUCUAGCCAUGGGCAGGUUGAAGGUUGAGUAACAUCAACUGGAGGACCGAACCGACUAAUGUUGAAAAAUUAGCGGAUGACUUGUGGCUAGGGGUGAAAGGCCAAUCAAACCUGGAGAUAGCUGGUUCUCCCCGAAAGCUAUUUAGGUAGCGCCUCGGACGAAUACUACUGGGGGUAGAGCACUGUUAAGGCUAGGGGGUCAUCCCGACUUACCAACCCUUUGCAAACUCCGAAUACCAGUAAGUACUAUCCGGGAGACACACGGCGGGUGCUAACGUCCGUCGUGGAGAGGGAAACAACCCAGACCGCCAGCUAAGGUCCCAAAUUACUACUAAGUGGGAAACGAUGUGGGAAGGCUCAGACAGCCAGGAUGUUGGCUUAGAAGCAGCCAUCAUUUAAAGAAAGCGUAAUAGCUCACUGGUCGAGUCGGCCUGCGCGGAAGAUGUAACGGGGCUAAGUAGUAAACCGAAGCUGCGGCAAUGCACUUUAGUGCAUUGGGUAGGGGAGCGUUCUGUAAGCGGUUGAAGGUGUGUGGUAACGCAUGCUGGACGUAUCAGAAGUGCGAAUGCUGACAUGAGUAACGAUAAAGGGGGUGAAAAACCUCCUCGCCGGAAGACCAAGGGUUCCUGUCCAACGUUAAUCGGGGCAGGGUAAGUCGACCCCUAAGGCGAGGCCGAAAGGCGUAGUCGAUGGGAAACGGGUUAAUAUUCCCGUACUUCUUAUAAUUGCGAUGGGGGGACGGAGAAGGCUAGGUGGGCCUGGCGACGGUUGUCCAGGUUCAAGUGCGUAGGCUUAAGAGUUAGGUAAAUCCGGCUCUUUUUAAGGCUGAGACACGACGUCGAGCUACUACGGUAGUGAAGUCAUUGAUGCCAUGCUUCCAGGAAAAGCCUCUAAGCUUCAGAUUGUAAGGAAUCGUACCCCAAACCGACACAGGUGGUCGGGUAGAGAAUACCAAGGCGCUUGAGAGAACUCGGGUGAAGGAACUAGGCAAAAUGGUACCGUAACUUCGGGAGAAGGUACGCUCUCGACGGUGAAGUCCCUCGCGGAUGGAGCUAUUGAGAGUCGCAGAUACCAGGUGGCUGCAACUGUUUAUUAAAAACACAGCACUGUGCAAAAUCGUAAGAUGACGUAUACGGUGUGACGCCUGCCCGGUGCCGGAAGGUUAAUUGAUGGGGUUAGACUUCGGUCGAAGCUCUUGAUCGAAGCCCCGGUAAACGGCGGCCGUAACUAUAACGGUCCUAAGGUAGCGAAAUUCCUUGUCGGGUAAGUUCCGACCUGCACGAAUGGCGUAAUGAUGGCCACGCUGUCUCCACCCGAGACUCAGUGAAAUUGAAAUCGCUGUGAAGAUGCAGUGUACCCGCGGCUAGACGGAAAGACCCCGUGAACCUUUACUACAGCUUGGCACUGAACAUUGACCCUACAUGUGUAGGAUAGGUGGGAGGCUUUGAAGCACAGUCGCUAGAUUGUGUGGAGCCGUCCUUGAAAUACCACCCUUGUAGUGUUGAUGUUCUAACGUUGACCCCUAAUCGGGGUUGCGGACAGUGCCUGGUGGGUAGUUUGACUGGGGCGGUCUCCUCCCAAAGCGUAACGGAGGAGCACGAAGGUGGGCUAAUCACGGUUGGACAUCGUGAGGUUAGUGCAAUGGCAUAAGCCCGCUUGACUGCGAGAAUGACGGUUCGAGCAGGUGCGAAAGCAGGUCAUAGUGAUCCGGUGGUUCUGAAUGGAAGGGCCAUCGCUCAACGGAUAAAAGGUACUCCGGGGAUAACAGGCUGAUACCGCCCAAGAGUUCAUAUCGACGGCGGUGUUUGGCACCUCGAUGUCGGCUCAUCACAUCCUGGGGCUGAAGUCGGUCCCAAGGGUAUGGCUGUUCGCCAUUUAAAGUGGUACGCGAGCUGGGUUUAGAACGUCGUGAGACAGUUCGGUCCCUAUCUGCCGUGGGCGUUGGAAGAUUGAAGGGGGCUGCUCCUAGUACGAGAGGACCGGAGUGGACGAACCUCUGGUGUUCGGGUUGUGUCGCCAGACGCAUUGCCCGGUAGCUAAGUUCGGAAUCGAUAACCGCUGAAAGCAUCUAAGCGGGAAGCGAGCCCUGAGAUGAGUCUUCCCUGAUACUUUAAGUAUCCUAAAGGGUUGU
rnacentral:rRNA from 1 species